rnacentral:rRNA from 1 species
AGCGACAGGCCUAACACAUGCAAGUCGAGGGGCAGCACAGGAGCAAUCUGAGGUGGCGACCGGCGCACGGGUGAGUAACACGUAUGCAACCUGCCUGUAAGCGGGGAAUAACCCGUUGAAAGACGGACUAAUACCGCAUAAUACUAAAUUACUGCAUGGUAAUUUAUUUAAACAUUUAUGGCUUACAGAUGGGCAUGCGCAUGAUUAGCUAGUUGGAGAGGUAACGGCUCCCCAAGGCAACGAUCAUUAGGGGUUCUGAGAGGAAGGUCCCCCACACUGGUACUGAGACACGGACCAGACUCCUACGGGAGGCAGCAGUGAGGAAUAUUGGUCAAUGGACGAGAGUCUGAACCAGCCAAGUCGCGUGCAGGAAGAAUGUUCCCUAUGGAUUGUAAACUGCUUUUGCAGGGGAAUAAAGUGCAUCACGUGUGAUGUUUUGUAUGUACUCUGCGAAUAAGGAUCGGCUAACUCCGUGCCAGCCGCCGC